GCGUGCCCUGCCGCUGCGUGAGGUGCUGGGAUCAGGUACGCCCGGGCAGGUAGGGCCUGGGGUUCUGGGGGCCUGGGGGUCUGGCCCCUGAGUGCUGCCGCGUUUGCGGACAGGGAAGACGCCGGGGAAACAGCGUUUAACAGGUGUGUGGCCUGGUGUCCCGCACCUUGGUGCCUUCCCUUCCUGCCUCCCCUCGCGCUCGCAGCCUAUGGGCCAGGCGGGGUACCUUUGGGCCUGGGGUCUAGGUGUUCUGUCGCUGAAGAUGCCAGAGGCGGGGAGCAGCUUCCGUGGACUAAAAUUUAGAUUGAGAAAAUGAGAGGAGCAUGCCAGCAGAGGCUCCGUCUUGAGUGCUGGGAGUGUGCCCGUGAUUUCUUCAUCCUCUCUUCUCCGCAAGUGUUUGUAAUCUGGUGGGGAAACAGGCAGACCAGCUGUCAUACAAGGCUGAGUCAGGUCAUUGCAGCCCCACGAAGACAGAACAGACUUCUCCAGUGAGGACAUUCAUUGCCUCCCAGUCAUUCCCCAAAAGGUCCUGACACAGAGGAGGAGCUCAAUGAAUAUUGAUUUAUUUAUUUUAAAUUUUUACCAUCCCUUUACUCUCAUCCUGUGUGAGUCUUUUGUUCUGAGGACAGAGGGCUAAGCACAUGGUCGGGAAAUCGGAAGGGAGUGCUCAGAAAACAGAGUCACACGUGCUGCAGGAGCAGGAAGUCAUCCCAGAGGACACAGGCGAAGAUGGCAUCUCUGAAAGCUUCCAGCUUCUACAGAUGGAUGUGGAAUGUGAGCCUCAGGAGAGGGAGACCCUGCCCACGGACAGUGCCACCUGGUGCUCG